UACGUAGGAGGCAAGCGUUGUCCGGAAUUAUUGGGCGUAAAGCGCGCGCAGGCGGCCCUUUAAGUCUGAGGUGAAAGCCCACGGCUCAACCGUGGAGGGUCCUUGGAAACUGGGGGACUUGAGUACAGAAGAGGAAAGCGGAAUUCCACGUGUAGCGGUGAAAUGCGUAGAGAUGUGGAGGAACACCAGUGGCGAAGGCGGCUUCCUGGUCUGUAACUGACGCUGAGGCGCGAAAGCGUGGGGAGCAAACAGG
rnacentral:misc_RNA from 1 species